GAUGAACGCUGGCGGCGUGCCUAACACAUGCAAGUCGAGCGAUUUACUUCGGUAAAGAGCGGCGGACGGGUGAGUAACGCGUGGGUAACCUGCCCUGUACACACGGAUAACAUACCGAAAGGUAUGCUAAUACGAGAUAAUAUGCUUUUAUCGCAUGGUAGAAGUAUCAAAGCUUUUGCGGUACAGGAUGGACCCGCGUCUGAUUAGCUAGUUGGUAAGGUAACGGCUUACCAAGGCGACGAUCAGUAGCCGACCUGAGAGGGUGAUCGGCCACAUUGGAACUGAGACGCGGUCCAAACUCCUACGGGAGGCAGCAGUGGGGAAUAUUGCACAAUGGGCGAAAGCCUGAUGCAGCAACGCCGCGUGAGCGAUGAAGGCCUUCGGGUCGUAAAGCUCUGUCCUCAAGGAAGAUAAUGACGGUACUUGAGGAGGAAGCCCCGGCUAACUACGUG
rnacentral:rRNA from 1 species